AAUACAGAGGAAAUCCUAUUUAAAUUCAUACAAAUGUCACAAGAUGAGUGUAUAUAAUAUGUGCGAUUUACGUAUAAAAAUAAUUAAUGCUUAACAUGCUAUACUGUUGAGUUAGGUUAGUUAGACAGGAAGAUGUAAAUUGACAACGGAAACCGUAUAAAAGAUGUGAAAAGUUAAAAACAUCAACUGUCGAGGACUGACUCCUACUGUCGUAAAGCAGCUUGGAAUUUUAUUCUGUUUUCAUCAUUAGACCCUCAAAAAUUUAUUCAAAAGAUAUGAUUACGAAUUGCCAACGACAUCGUUUUUGCGAUAUUCUGAUAGGUAAACGACCCAAGGAUUUUGAUUUCACAAUCAACACUAUACAGCAGCAGAUAAAGAUAUUCACGAAGGAGGAAAUUAAAAUAAAUAAGAAAAGGAAAAAGCAUGAAAGGACAAGGAGAAGAAGAAAAAAAACAAAAAUAAUGACAAGGGAAAUUUUGAAAUUGCUACUUUGUGAAUCGAUGUUCUGACUGAUGGAUAACAAGCAGGUAGAAUUUAUGAAAGAUUGGAAGCUGAAACACAUAAAUAGAUGAGAUCUAACCAUUCUAUGUCUCUUGAUCUCAAUAAUAAAUUGUACGAUUACUUCUAUGGAUCUGCACAAAAACAAAUAAUUUUUCUAGAUAAUGUUAGUAUUAGGAUACAUGAAGAUUAUUUUCGAAUUCUGAGGAUGAGGCUACAAUAAAGGCUCAGGAUGAGGCUAUAAUAAAUUGAAAGAAAAUAUUGACAGUCUGUCACAAAUAUCCAUUGAAAGAAUCUGAAGUAAAUGGAGUAAGAUUUUAAUGAGCAAUAUUGUUCUGUAGAAUUGAUUCUAAAACUACUUGAGUACGACAAUAGCAUAUAUCAAUUUACCUGACAAAUUUGUCAGAAAAUUUUCAAACUGUCAAUGCACUUUGUCCAAUAAUGUAAUUUCGAAAUUUAUAUCUGUAAUCAUGAAAAUUAUCUUUGAAUCCUCAGCUUAGCCCAUAUAUGAUAGGAAUGUAAUCUGUAUGAUUUAAGUUCAAGCAAUUUGCAUCAUUAUUAUGACAUUGACCAGUUGAAUACCACGAAAAAGAAAGCAAAUAUAAAGCAAAUAUUAAUAUAUAAAGCAAAUAUUAAUAUAUAAUUGAGCAAAUAAAUUUAUUCUUAU